AGAAAAGUCAUAUUUUUCUCAAAUGACCUAGCUUUUACCUUCGUUAACUCACACUUGCACCCAUCUGAAGUGAAACCAGCAACCAUUUAACAGCAAACAGUAGCAGCAGCAUGCACCAAAAGAGAAUGGAAAGUGAAAAGAACACAACAGAUCAUUUUAAAAGUAGUGUGUCAAUUGCCUGGUUCUCCACUGACAGCUAAAAUUAAACAAAAAAGUGAAUUCCGUUCUACAGUGUGAACAUCUUAUGGGAACACUAGAGGAUAUCCAUAGACAGCAGGAAAAAAACAGCAAAAUAGAUAUUUUGACUCACAGAAAAUGAAUGUUUGCAAAGAUUCACCAAGAAAUAAAGUCAACCAAAAAAGCAAAGUCAUGAAAAAGAAUUUUUCAUCCAGUGACUACCAAAUGGAGGAAUUAUCGUCUUGAAGGGGAACGUAUCAAUCACUUAAGGAAACUAGAUGGGAGACUGAAGGUGGCAAAAGGAGAGGCAUAGCAAAUGGAAGAAGGUGUCCUAGAGUCACUCUUAAACUUUGAGAAGUUUGAGAUAUUAGGUUGGUGCAAGAGUAAU
rnacentral:lncRNA from 1 species